AUUGAACGCUGGCGGCAUGCCUUACACAUGCAAGUCGAACGGUAACAGGUCUUCGGAUGCUGACGAGUGGCGAACGGGUGAGUAAUACAUCGGAACGUGCCUAGUAGUGGGGGAUAACUACUCGAAAGAGUGGCUAAUACCGCAUGAGAUCUGAGGAUGAAAGCAGGGGAUCGCAAGACCUCGUGCGCAUAGAGCGGCGGAUGGCAGAUUAGGGAGUUGGUGGGAUAAAAGCUUACCAAGCCGACGAUCUGUAGCUGGUCUGAGAGGACGACCAGCCAAACUGGGACUGAGACACGGCCCAGACUCCUACGGGAGGCAGCAGUGGGGAAUUUUGGACAAUGGGCGAAAGCCUGAUCCAGCAAUGCCGCGUGCAGGAUGAAGGCCUUCGGGUUGUAAACUGCUUUUGUACGGAACGAAAAGCCCUGGGUUAAUACCCUGGGGUCAUGACGGUACCGUAAGAAUAAGCACCGGCUAACUACGUGCCAGCAGCCGCCGUAA
rnacentral:rRNA from 1 species